rnacentral:rRNA from 1 species
AACGAACGCUGGCGGCAUGCCUAACACAUGCAAGUCGAACGAGACCUUCGGGUCUAGUGGCGCACGGGUGCGUAACGCGUGGGAACCUGCCCUUAGGUUCGGAAUAACUCCCCGAAAGGGGUGCUAAUACCGGAUAAUGUCUUCGGACCAAAGAGUUAUCGCCUUUGGAUGGGCCCGCGUUGGAUUAGCUAGUUGGUAGGGUACAAGCCUACCAAGGCGACGAUCCAUAGCUGGUCGGAGAGGAUGAUCAGCCACACUGGGACUGAGACACGGCCCAGACUCGUACGGGAGGCAGCAGUGGGGAAUAUUGGACAAUGGGCGAAAGCCUGAUACAGCCAUGCCGCGUGAGUGAUGAAGGGCUUAGGGUUGUAAAGCUCUUUUAGCCGGGAUGAUAAUGACAGUACCGGGUGAAUAAGCUCCGGCUAACUCCGUG